GAAGACAUAGCUCAGUUGGUGGAGUGCUUGCUUGGCAUGCAUGAUGCUCUGGGUUUGAUCCCCAGCACCAUCU
rnacentral:tRNA from 2 species